AGCACCAUAACAGUAGAAGAAUCACCACUUACUUGAGAAGAAACAGAAAACAUAGAAAGAUGAUAUGACCUUUGAUCUCCCACCAACAGGCCUAGAUUAGGAUCCUUCAAAUCCCAAGAGUUUUCCAUUCUCAACUGAAUCUCACAGCAGCAACAAAGGCAAUAGUCCAUUCUUUUGAUUAAUUUGUUGGAUGCCUAGAAUAGGCUACAAGCUAUAAUAUUAAAAAGAGAAAGAAUCCCUAGCCAAAAAGAAAGCUAUCUAAUUACAUAGCCAAUAGGAAACAUAACACAAGAAGGAAACCCACUAGGCUAAGGAAUAGUCUUUAAGUUAAACAAAACAACU